UACGGAGGGUGCAAGCGUUAUCCGGAUUCACUGGGCUUAAAGGGUGCGUAGGCGGGCAGGUAAGUCCGUGGUGAAAUCUCUGAGCUUAACUCAGAAACUGCCAUGGAUACUAUUUGUCUUGAAUAUUGUGGAGGUGAGCGGAAUAUGUCAUGUAGCGGUGAAAUGCUUAGAUAUGACAUAGAACACCAAUUGCGAAGGCAGCUCACUACACAAUUAUUGACGCUGAGGCACGAAAGCGUGGGGAUCAAACAGG
rnacentral:rRNA from 1 species